GCCAUAUGUCCAUAUUUCAGAACUAGGCGAGAGAGCAAGUACUCGGUGAAUUCACUGAGUACUUGCUCUCUCGCCUAGUUCUGAAAUAUGGACAA
rnacentral:pre_miRNA from 1 species